rnacentral:tRNA from 1 species
CCCCGGCGUGGCCGACGGCGGCGGCGUACCCGCGGCUGGCCUCGAAGGGCAGCUCGGCGACCGGCGUCCAGUCGUCGGCCGGGGCC